GACGAACGCUGGCGGCGUGCCUAAUACAUGCAAGUCGAGCGAGCAGAACCAGCAGAUUUACUUCGGUAAUGACACUGGGGACGCGAGCGGCGGAUGGGUGAGUAACACGUGGGGAACCUGCCCCAUAGUCUGGGAUACCACUUGGAAACAGGUGCUAAUACCGGAUAAGAAAGCAGAUCGCAUGAUCAGCUUAUAAAAGGCGGCGUAAGCUGUCGCUAUGGGAUGGCCCCGCGGUGCAUUAGCUAGUUGGUAAGGUAACGGCUUACCAAGGCGAUGAUGCAUAGCCGAGUUGAGAGACUGAUCGGCCACAUUGGGACUGAGACACGGCCCAAACUCCUACGGGAGGCAGCAGUAGGGAAUCUUCCACAAUGGACGCAAGUCUGAUGGAGCAACGCCGCGUGAGUGAAGAAGGUUUUCGGAUCGUAAAGCUCUGUUGUUGGUGAAGAAGGAUAGAGGUAGUAACUGGUCUUUAUUUGACGGUAAUCAACCAGAAAGUCACGGCUAACUACGUGCCAGCAGCCGCGGUAAUACGUAGGUGGCAAGCGUUGUUCGGAUUUAUUGGGCGUAAAGCGAGCGCAGGCGGAAGAAUAAGUCUGAUGUGAAAGCCCUCGGCUUAACCGAGGAACUGCAUCGGAAACUGUUUUUCUUGAGUGCAGAAGAGGAGAGUGGAACUCCAUGUGUAGCGGUGGAAUGCGUAGAUAUAUGGAAGAACACCAGUGGCGAAGGCGGCUCUCUGGUCUGCAACUGACGCUGAGGCUCGAAAGCAUGGGUAGCGAACAGGAUUAGAUACCCUGGUAGUCCAUGCCGUAAACGAUGAGUGCUAAGUGUUGGGAGGUUUCCGCCUCUCAGUGCUGCAGCUAACGCAUUAAGCACUCCGCCUGGGGAGUACGACCGCAAGGUUGAAACUCAAAGGAAUUGACGGGGGCCCGCACAAGCGGUGGAGCAUGUGGUUUAAUUCGAAGCAACGCGAAGAACCUUACCAGGUCUUGACAUCUAGUGCCAUCCUAAGAGAUUAGGAGUUCCCUUCGGGGACGCUAAGACAGGUGGUGCAUGGCUGUCGUCAGCUCGUGUCGUGAGAUGUUGGGUUAAGUCCCGCAACGAGCGCAACCCUUGUUAUUAGUUGCCAGCAUUAAGUUGGGCACUCUAAUGAGACUGCCGGUGACAAACCGGAGGAAGGUGGGGAUGACGUCAAGUCAUCAUGCCCCUUAUGACCUGGGCUACACACGUGCUACAAUGGGCAGUACAACGAGAAGCGAGCCUGCGAAGGCAAGCGAAUCUCUGAAAGCUGUUCUCAGUUCGGACUGCAGUCUGCAACUCGACUGCACGAAGCUGGAAUCGCUAGUAAUCGCGGAUCAGCACGCCGCGGUGAAUACGUUCCCGGGCCUUGUACACACCGCCCGUCACACCAUGGAAGUCUGCAAUGCCCAAAGCCGGUGGCCUAACCUUCGGGAAGGAGCCGUCUAAGGCAGGGCAGAUGACUGGGGUG
rnacentral:rRNA from 1 species